UACGUAGGGUGCAAGCGUUGUCCGGAAUUAUUGGGCGUAAAGAGCUCGUAGGCGAUUUGUCGCGUCUGCUGUGAAAACUCGGGGCUCAACUCCGAGCUUGCAGUGGGUACGGGCAGACUAGAGUGCGGUAGGGGAGACUGGAAUUCCUGGUGUAGCGGUGAAAUGCGCAGAUAUCAGGAGGAACACCGGUGGCGAAGGCGGGUCUCUGGGCCGAUACUGACGCUGAGGAGCGAAAGCGUGGGGAGCGAACAGG
rnacentral:rRNA from 1 species